UCCAUUGGUUUCUGUUUGGUGAUAGGU
rnacentral:piRNA from 1 species